UAAGUAGACUGGGUGGCCGCCCUUCUCUGAAGGGAGGAAAGUCCGAGCUCCACCGGGCAAGAUGCUGGGUAACACCCAGGAGGGGUGACCCUACGGAAAGCGCCACAGAAACAUACCGUCCUUCCCUGCGGGAAGGAUAAGGGUGAAAUGGUGAGGUAAGAGCUCACCAGCGGCUGGGUGACCAGUCGGCUGGGCAAACCCCAUCUGGAGCAAGACCAAAUAGAGGGACACAAGGCAGCCCGGCCUCGUCCCCGGGUUGGUCGCUUGACCCUUUCGGUAACGGAAGGGCUAGAUAGAUGGUCACCGUCCUUCUUUAGAAGGAUACAGAACUCGGCUUACAGGUUUGCUUAACCC
rnacentral:RNase_P_RNA from 1 species